GAUGAAGAACGUAGCGAAAUGCGAUAAGUAAUGUGAAUUGCAGAAUUCAGUGAAUCAUCGAAUCUUUGAACGCACAUUGCGCCCGCUAGUAUUCUGGCGGGCAUGCCUGUCCGAGCGUCAUUUCAACCCUCAAGCCCCCGGGCUUGGUGUUGGGGAUCGGCGAGCCUCCGCGCCCGCCGUCCCCUAAAUCUAGUGGCGGUCUCGCUGUAGCUUCCUCUGCGUAGUAGCACACCUCGCACUGGGAAACAGCGCGGCCACGCCGUUAAAUCCCCAACUUCUGAACGUUUGACCUCGGAUCAGGUAGGAAUACCCGCUGAACUUAAGCAUAUCAAUAAGCGGAGGA
rnacentral:misc_RNA from 1 species